rnacentral:rRNA from 1 species
UACAGAGGGUGCGAGCGUUGUCCGGAAUCACUGGGCGUAAAGCGCGUGUAGGCGGCCCAUUAAGUCUGAUGUGAAAGCCCGGGGCUCACCCCCGGAAGUGCAUUGGAAACUGAUGGACUCGAGUCCCGGAGAGGAGAGUGGAAUUCCUGGUGUAGCGGUGAAAUGCGUAGAUAUCAGGAGGAACACCGGUGGCGAAGGCGGCUCUCUGGACGGUGACUGACGCUGAGACGCGAAAGCGUGGGGAGCAAACAGG